CGCGUGAGCAAUCUGCCUUUGGAUGGGGAUAACAGCCGGAAACGACUGCUAAUACCGCAUAAUGCAGCAGGACCGCAUGAUUUUGCUGCCAAAGAUUUAUCGUCCAAAGAUGAGCUCGCGUCUGAUUAGCCAGUUGGCGGGGUAACGGCCCACCAAAGCGACGAUCAGUAGCCGGACUGAGAGGUUGAACGGCCACAUUGGGACUGAGACACGGCCCAGACUCCUACGGGAGGCAGCAG
rnacentral:rRNA from 1 species